rnacentral:lncRNA from 1 species
GCAUUGGGAAUUCAACUUCAACGUUGUUGUUACAUUGUUGGCACUAGGUACUUAGAGCAUUCAAGGAAGACGAUAUGACAUGCGCGCUAUACAAUCAAAUAAGGCAGCAAGUCAUCGCGCCUUCUACAGAAUCCUUGGCCUCACCCUAGCUUCAAACCUUAGUGACGGCAGCCAGCCUUGGUUAGUCGACAAGCCUAGAGGUUCCAUGAGCAACCAGCUGAUCUUCUAAUGCCAUUGCCUAGCUGAGUAGACUAAGAGGAGAGA